CCUACGGGAGGCAGCAGUGAGGAAUAUUGGUCAAUGGACGAGAGUCUGAACCAGCCAAGUAGCGUGAAGGAUGACUGCCCUAUGGGUUGUAAACUUCUUUUAUAAAGGAAUAAAACGAGGCACGUGUGCCUUUUUGCAUGUACUUUAUGAAUAAGGAUCGGCUAACUCCGUGCCAGCAGCCGCGGUAAUACGGAGGAUCCGAGCGUUAUCCGGAUUUAUUGGGUUUAAAGGGAGCGUAGGUGGGUUGUUAAGUCAGUUGUGAAAGUUUGCGGCUCAACCGUAAAAUUGCAAUUGAUACUGGCAGUCUAGAGUACAGUUGAGGUAGGCGGAAUUCGUGGUGUAGCGGUGAAAUGCUUAGAUAUCACGAAGAACCCCGAUUGCGAAGGCAGCUUACUAAACUGUGACUGACAUUGAUGCUCGAAAGUGUGGGUAUCAAACAGGAUUAGAUACCCUAGUAGUC
rnacentral:rRNA from 1 species